UCCGAGUUGACCCCGGCAGUCUCCUAUGAGUCCCCGGCAUAACCCGCUGGCAACAUAGGACGAGGGUUGCGCUCGUUGCGGGACUUAACCCAACAUCUCACGACACGAGCUGACGACAACCAUGCACCACCUGUUCAGGACCCUUGCGGACCUCACAUCUCUGUGAGAUUUCCCUGAAUGUCAAGCCUUGGUAAGGUUCUUCGCGUCGCAUCGAAUUAAGCCACAUGCUCCGCCGCUUGUGCGGGCCCCCGUCAAUUCCUUUGAGUUUUAGCCUUGCGGCCGUACUCCCCAGGCGGGGCGCUUAAUGCGUUAGCUGCGGCACAGAGGACGUGGAAGGUCCCCCACACCUAGCGCCCAACGUUUACGGCGUGGACUAC
rnacentral:misc_RNA from 1 species